GAGGGUGGACAAGAAGUAAGUUUUCCUUGGUUAUAAAUAACGUUAUUGUGUUGGCUUUCUCAAAUCCCAGCUUUAGUAGUAUUGGGCACGUGGACAUACUCAAGACCUCCUUGUUGGCCAGGGUAAUGCAGGCAAUGGCAGUAGCUGAGGUCACAUAAACGUUUUCUCCUUCCUGAGCACUGUGUCAUUUUGUUUUCAGAUGGUGUAAUGGGAUGUGCCAGUUGGCCUCCAGCCAAGAAGUGGAGCUUGCCAAAGAGCACCAGCUAUGUUGGUAACAGUGGAAUUUGUGCCUGCCUUAUUUUACCCAAAAAAUGUACCACUUAUGGCCUGAAUCCAAGUCACCCAAUGCAAUUUUCUUUUUCUGCACCUGGUGAUUCCUUAUCUGUCCUCGAAGACUUACCUGAAAUCUAACUCCCUAAUGAAGAUUUUCUUAACCAUUACCAGGCAACACUAAGUUCUGUCUUCUAGCUGUUUAUAUAGCAUACCUGUUUAUACAAUAUUUUGAUUUACUUUACUUUUCAUUGUUCUUUGUUGCUACUAGAGGAAGCGAAUAUGCAAAGAAGGAAGAUUUUUAAAGUAUCCUCUCAUUCAUUAAUUCCAGUUUCUUAGAAGAGUAUAAAAGAAGACAAGUGGAAAUUUACUGGCAAAAAUAAAGUGUACUAAACUUCAUUGACCUCAUGGGAAGCAACGGUGCUUUUCCAAUCUUCCACUUUCAAGAUUCUAAGAAAUCAUGUCCAAUUUAAU
rnacentral:lncRNA from 1 species